UAUGGCUUAUGGCUAUCAGUUCCUACAUUAU
rnacentral:piRNA from 1 species